UGGGGAAUUUUGGACAAUGGGCGCAAGCCUGAUCCAGCCAUGCCGCGUGAGUGAAGAAGGCCUUCGGGUUGUAAAGCUCUUUCGGCGGGGACGAAAAGGUCCGUGCUAACACCACGGACUCAUGACGGUACCCGCAGAAGAAGCACCGGCUAACUACGUGCCAGCAGCCGCGGUAAUACGUAGGGUGCAGGCGUUAAUCGGAAUUACUGGGCGUAAAGCGUGCGCAGGCGGUUUGCUAAGACAGGUGUGAAAUCCCCGGGCUUAACCUGGGAACUGCGCUUGUAACUGGCAAGCUAGAGUGUGGCAGAGGGGGGUGGAAUUCCACGUGUAGCAGUGAAAUGCGUAGAGAUGUGGAGGAACACCGAUGGCGAAGGCAGCCCCCUGGGCUAACACUGACGCUCAUGCACGAAAGCGUGGGGAGCAAACAGGAUUAGAUACCCUGGUAGUCCACGCCCUAAACUAUGUCAACUGGUUGUCGGGGAAGCAAUUCCUUGGUAACGAAGCUAACGCGUGAAGUUGACCGCCUGGGGAGUACGGCCGCAAGGUUAA
rnacentral:rRNA from 1 species